GAUGAUUCAACCAAGCAUGAGGCGGGGCAAUCAGUUCAGGAAGCUGCGGUAGUAAAUGUAGGUGUUUUUGUCUUGGCAGUGCGUUUGCUGUUUUAAAUGGCCAAAUCGUUCAAAUGUGUCAUUUUGUGGUCGUAUGUUACUUUGCAGGUUUCCUCUGAAAAAAAGAAGAAGAGGUCUUCGACCCCACCGCCGCCAUCUCCUCCACAGUCUUCGCUGCUGGUGGUAGAUGAGGACGAUGAGGAGGAAGUGCAUUCUGACGACAGUGACGCCCCUUCUGAAGUAGGAGAGAAGAUGAAGUGCACGACGAGACAGAAGGAGCAGCAGCAGCAGCCGCAGGUCCGGGAGUGAUAGUGAAGACUUGCCUAGAUCUGAAGCGAUCUGUCUGUCAGCCGUCAAGGAGCCAUGGACGGGAAGAGACUGAGGAAAAGCUCGUUCAACAAACCCAUAAAGGGGAGCAAGAAGGCGCAAGGACGGGUAACUAUAUGCUUUAUAUUUGACUAAUUUAGGUACAAAUGGGCUAUGUGUCAAAUACUUAAACAAUAAUGGUGUGUGUUUUGGCGUCUUUAGGUCACGCCCGAUGGCCACAUGCACUCCACAUCCAAGCAGUCGCCUAAUUUGCAGAAGCCAUGGCCAAGGAGGCCAACAAUUUGGCAGAGAAGGCAAAGCGGGCUCUGAUAAUAGCUGAGAAAGCCGCGAAGGCCGCGCAAGACGCUGCGGUGCUGGUUGACGCCACGCCAAAGACAUCGCGUCCUCCAAAGGUAUUGCUACUGAAAAUGGCCUUCUCUAUUCCGUUGAUAUUCUUUGUUAAUAGACGGAAAUGUCGAUAAUGUACAAUAAUUGUAUUUUGGUUUGUCUUUACAGAAGCGCAAGGCCAGCGAAGACGAUGAUGAGGAUAGUGCGGAAUCUCUCGCAUCUGAUGAUAAGAAAGAGUUAAGGGUGAGGUUUCGUUUUUAUUUGGUUCAAGUCUGACGAUUUUAGUCAAAUAUGCCUGGAUGUAUUUUAAGUUCCUUUUUUUGAUUACAGUAUAAGU